rnacentral:rRNA from 1 species
UACGUAGGGUGCAAGCGUUGUUCGGAAUUAUUGGGCGUAAAGCGCGUGUAGGCGGCUUUGCAAGUCGGGUGUGAAAUUCCUCAGCUCAACUGAGGAAGUGCGCCCGAAACUGCAGAGCUUGAGUACCGGAGAGGAUGGCGGAAUUCCCGAAGUAGAGGUGAAAUUCGUAGAUAUCGGGAGGAACACCGGUGGCGAAGGCGGCUCACUGGCUCGUAACUGACGCUCAUGCACGACAGCGUGGGGAUCAAACAGG